rnacentral:ncRNA from 1 species
GUACUGUUAUUAAGGUGGGAAAUGAUGUGAAAUUCAUCAGCUGUGCUCGCAACGGUAAAUUAGUUAAAGUCCGAAGGCCACUCAGUAUAGUCCGGUGUUAGAAAGUAAUCGAGAAGAAUUACAAUCUUACAAUGAAAAA